AUCUUUCGCCCUCAGCGUGCGCCAUCUUGACUACAUAGCGGGAGGGAGCAUUUUCAAACUCGUGGUAAUCGUGGUUGAGAAAACUGAAGCAGCAGCAAUGGAAAACACACUUUACAGAGUUACAAUCUAGUUAUAACAUAAACAGUGACAGAUUCUUUGUAGUGCUGCAGCGAUUAGUCGACUUAUUCGACGUAUUCCACCAUGAAAAUUUACAGAGCCGUAUAGACCGGUUUCAGGUCCCUAACAAUGCAACGAAUUGGGAUGUUGGCGAGUUAUUUAUGUUGUGAGAUACGUGUUAGUAUGUUAAAAUAACGAUUUUAUACUGUCAGACGGGUAUCCAAGUAUCGAAUGAAUCAUGCCUUCUCCCUCCUCCCCAGUCUCUUCAGCCCCAGGACCGAGGCGUUGAGGUGGCGUGAAUUCGGCGUGCCCUGUCUGCAAUCCUGCCUUUCAGAAAGCCCCAGGACCGAGGCGUUGAGGUGGCGUGACUGGCGUGAAUUCGGUGUGCCCUGUCUGCAAUCCUGCCUUUCAGUAAGGGGCAGUAAGGACAAGAUCCACCCACCACCCAGUGCAUGCUACAUAUGUGUGUGUAAUAAAUUGAGAGGGAAAGUGUGUG